AUGGGGGGACCAUCCUCCAAGGCUAAAUACUCCUGACUGACCGAUAGUGAACCAGUACCGUGAGGGAAAGGCGAAAAGAACCCCGGCGAGGGGAGUGAAAAAGAACCUGAAACCGUGUACGUACAAGCAGUGGGAGCCUCUUAAUGGGGUGACUGCGUACCUUUUGUAUAAUGGGUCAGCGACUUAUAUUCUGUAGCAAGGUUAACCGAAUAGGGGAGCCGAAGGGAAACCGAGUCUUAACUGGGCGUUAAGUUGCAGGGUAUAGACCCGAAACCCGGUGAUCUAGCCAUGGGCAGGUUGAAGGUUGGGUAACACUAACUGGAGGACCGAACCGACUAAUGUUGAAAAAUUAGCGGAUGACUUGUGGCUGGGGGUGAAAGGCCAAUCAAACCGGGAGAUAGCUGGUUCUCCCCGAAAGCUAUUUAGGUAGCGCCUCGUGAAUUCAUCUCCGGGGGUAGAGCACUGUUUCGGCAAGGGGGUCAUCCCGACUUACCAACCCGAUGCAAACUGCGAAUACCGGAGAAUGUUAUCACGGGAGACACACGGCGGGUGCUAACGUCCGUCGUGAAGAGGGAAACAACCCAGACCGCCAGCUAAGGUCCCAAAGUCAUGGUUAAGUGGGAAACGAUGUGGGAAGGCCCAGACAGCCAGGAUGUUGGCUUAGAAGCAGCCAUCAUUUAAAGAAAGCGUAAUAGCUCACUGGUCGAGUCGGCCUGCGCGGAAGAUGUAACGGGGCUAAACCAUGCACCGAAGCUGCGGCAGCGACACUAUGUGUUGUUGGGUAGGGGAGCGUUCUGUAAGCCUGUGAAGGUGUACUGUGAGGUAUGCUGGAGGUAUCAGAAGUGCGAAUGCUGACAUAAGUAACGAUAAAGCGGGUGAAAAGCCCGCUCGCCGGAAGACCAAGGGUUCCUGUCCAACGUUAAUCGGGGCAGGGUGAGUCGACCCCUAAGGCGAGGCCGAAAGGCGUAGUCGAUGGGAAACAGGUUAAUAUUCCUGUACUUGGUGUUACUGCGAAGGGGGGACGGAGAAGGCUAUGUUGGCCGGGCGACGGUUGUCCCGGUUUAAGCGUGUAGGCUGGUUUUCCAGGCAAAUCCGGAAAACCAAGGCUGAGGCGUGAUGACGAGGCACUACGGUGCUGAAGCGACAAAUGCCCUGCUUCCAGGAAAAGCCUCUAAGCAUCAGGUAACAUUAAAUCGUACCCCAAACCGACACAGGUGGUCAGGUAGAGAAUACCAAGGCGCUUGAGAGAACUCGGGUGAAGGAACUAGGCAAAAUGGUGCCGUAACUUCGGGAGAAGGCACGCUGAUAUGUAGGUGAAGCGACUUGCUCGUGGAGCUGAAAUCAGUCGAAGAUACCAGCUGGCUGCAACUGUUUAUUAAAAACACAGCACUGUGCAAACACGAAAGUGGACGUAUACGGUGUGACGCCUGCCCGGUGCCGGAAGGUUAAUUGAUGGGGUUAGCGGUAACGCGAAGCUCUUGAUCGAAGCCCCGGUAAACGGCGGCCGUAACUAUAACGGUCCUAAGGUAGCGAAAUUCCUUGUCGGGUAAGUUCCGACCUGCACGAAUGGCGUAAUGAUGGCCAGGCUGUCUCCACCCGAGACUCAGUGAAAUUGAACUCGCUGUGAAGAUGCAGUGUACCCGCGGCAAGACGGAAAGACCCCGUGAACCUUUACUAUAGCUUGACACUGAACAUUGAGCCUUGAUGUGUAGGAUAGGUGGGAGGCUUUGAAGUGUGGACGCCAGUCUGCAUGGAGCCGACCUUGAAAUACCACCCUUUAAUGUUUGAUGUUCUAACGUGGGCCCCUUACCGGGGUUGCGGACAGUGUCUGGUGGGUAGUUUGACUGGGGCGGUCUCCUCCUAAAGAGUAACGGAGGAGCACGAAGGUUGGCUAAUCCUGGUCGGACAUCAGGAGGUUAGUGCAAUGGCAUAAGCCAGCUUGACUGCGAGCGUGACGGCGCGAGCAGGUGCGAAAGCAGGUCAUAGUGAUCCGGUGGUUCUGAAUGGAAGGGCCAUCGCUCAACGGAUAAAAGGUACUCCGGGGAUAACAGGCUGAUACCGCCCAAGAGUUCAUAUCGACGGCGGUGUUUGGCACCUCGAUGUCGGCUCAUCACAUCCUGGGGCUGAAGUAGGUCCCAAGGGUAUGGCUGUUCGCCAUUUAAAGUGGUACGCGAGCUGGGUUUAGAACGUCGUGAGACAGUUCGGUCCCUAUCUGCCGUGGGCGCUGGAGAACUGAGGGGGGCUGCUCCUAGUACGAGAGGACCGGAGUGGACGCAUCACUGGUGUUCGGGUUGUCAUGCCAAUGGCACUGCCCGGUAGCUAAAUGCGGAAGAGAUAAGUGCUGAAAGCAUCUAAGCACGAAACUUGCCCCGAGAUGAGUUCUCCCUGACUCCUUGAGAGUCCUGAAGGAACGUUGAAGACGACGACGUUGAUAGGCCGGGUGUGUAAGCGCAGCGAUGCGUUGAGCUAACCGGUACUAAUGAACCGUGAGGCUUAACCUUACAACGCCGAAG
rnacentral:rRNA from 1 species